AGAGAGAGAGAGAGAAGGAAAGAAAGAAAGAACUUCACAAAAGGGGUUUCUGCGGCUAACUGUGAACUGUGAAGUGAAGUUUUAAGGGCUGAAAAAAUAUAUAUAUAAAGAAAAGAAUAUACAGAUAAUAUAUACAUAUAGAGAGACCGAGAGAGAGACUUUUGGAGAGAGAGAGAGAUGGUGGGCUCAGGAGGAGCAGAUAGGAGCAAGGAAGCUGUUGGGAUGAUGGCCCUUCAUGAGGCCCUCAGAAGCGUCUGUCUCAACUCAGACUGGACUUACUCAGUCUUCUGGACUAUCCGUCCUCGCCCGUACUUUCUCUGUGAAACUAUCACUUUCUAUCUCUAUGGUUCCCUGCCUCUGCCUUUUAUUGGAGGUACUUAAUGGAUUUUUAUUUUUUGCAUUUUUUUUCUUAUUUUGCAGAAGAGUCAGAGGUGGUAAUGGUUGCAAGGUUGGAGACGAUAAUGGGAGCUUGAUGUUAAUGUGGGAAGAUGGUUUUUGCUGGGGAAGAGGAGGAGAUGGUCUGGAAGAGAUUGAUGGAGAAGAUCCUGUCAGGAAAGCUUUCAGCAAAAUGUCUAUCCAGUUAUAUAAUUAUGGAGAAGGGUGGGUGCUGGGUUAAUGGGAAAAGUUGCUUCAGAUAAGUGUCAUAAAUGGGUAUUCAAAGAACCUUCUGAAUGUGAACCUAACAUCUCCAACUACUGGCAGAGUUCUUUUGAUGCUCUUCCUCCAGAAUGGACUGAUCAGUUUGAGUCUGGCAUUCAGACCAUUGCUGUCAUUCAAGCUGGCCAUGGACUUCUACAACUGGGUUCUUGCAAGAUUAUACCUGAAGACCUUCAUUUUGUGCUAAGAAUGAGGCAUACCUUUGAAUCUUUAGGUUACCAAUCUGGUUUCUACCUUUCCCAGCUCUUUUCCUCAACCCAAAAUACUUCUGCAUCUUCAAUUCCUUCUAAGCAAUCUGUCAUUCCAACCUGCCUACCUCCACCUCUCUUCAACAGGGGUCAAAUGCCACUCCCAUCUGCAGCUUCUAUGCUUUCUUCGCCAAAUUUUCAAAACCCAGCAGCUAGACUUGGAUUUCCACAAGCCAAAGAUGAGCCCCAUAUGUUCAUCCUUCCUCAUUCAGCAGAAACCCGAAUGGAAGAAAUGAUAGGAGAGCCUGAAAAUGACAUUAAAUGGCCUAAUGGGUUGUCUCUCUUCAAUGCUUUAACCGGAAGAACUAAUGAUGCCAAGCUUUUGUUUAACCCUGAGGGCUUGGGGAACAAAGCAGACCAAAACCACCAUAGUGCAAGCAGUGCAAAUCCCAACGAGUUCUUGAGCUUGGACAGCCAUCCAGAUAGUGCACGAAAAAUGGAAAACAAGUUCGAAAGGAGCUUUACUUUGCCUGCAAGAAUGGCCACAUUGUCUUCUUCCACUUCAAUUGAUCCACAUCAGCAACAACCUGCUGAGUACAGGAAUUCCGAAGCAGGGAUGUAUACGGAUGUCAUGGAGACUUUCUUGGAGUGAAAUCUACAGAAGGCCUGUAUUAGAGGGAGAAAGGGUGAGGAAGUUGUAUCUAGGAAAAAGCUUUUGUGAACUUUUGCUACUGGGAUUCUUGUGUUUGUUUUCAUGUUCUUCAAGUACAUUGUGUUCCUUUUAUCAGUUUAGUACUGAACUUUUUGAUCAUUUGUUGUAGUUGAUCCUAACAUAAGUUUUUCCUCUCAAAUCAUUUAGGAUUGCAUAGGGCAGGUUUAGUUGUCAAUUCUCCCUCUACCUCCGCCGUUCUUCAAGAUCUAAAAUGCCCCAGCAAUCCAUCCAUCGACACCCAUGGCAAUCCCUCCAAGCAAAACUCUUCCAUCGAUGCCCAAUAGAAGAAAUUUGCCCAAGUAACAGUCAUCGUAUGCUCACAAUCGAAGAGAUAGAGAACAACAAAGAUCAGAAAAGGUAGCCAAAAUAUUUUCAACCAAUAUUCCGAGGAAUUGAGAAAUUGAGAAAUUGUGAAAUUCGAAUUCCUUGCUACAUAAAGUACAAAUCUGUCAAGCUUCCAUACUGAAAUUAGAGAGAAUUGUGAGAUUGAGUGAUUUCAAGAGUCAAAUUGCAAGGACAAAAUUUAGGAAUUUUGAAGAUGCAUCAACUCUAGAAAAUUUAAGCAAAGGAAAACAAAAAGAAAGCUCAAGAUCCAGUUGGAUCUUGGUUCAUUGGGGAGUAAGGGGGUGAUCAUCAUUGGGUCAAAAUUAAAACACUCCUUACAGUGAAAAAAGUUAGCCAAGUAAAUAUAGAAGGAAUGGAGGCAAACUUGAGAAUAGAGGCAAAAUCAAGGACAUGAAAAUUAAAAAAACAAACGUACUACCGAGGAAGGGAACACCCGGAAGAACAAUCAACAGAUGUGAUGGGUCAUUCUAGGCCAAGCUAUCCCACGAAAAUCAGCAGCUAACAAAUCAACAAACUUCCCUAGGAGGGUCGCGCAAAAUAUGAAAACCAAGCUCAGAUCAAUUCACUUUCAAGUUAGCCAAACGGUCAGCCAUCACGAUAGCAAUGCCUUGAGGAGACACCUUAUGCCCGAUUAAACAACUGACGGCAUUGACACAACAAAUUGGCAAACCUAAUAUAAUAUUCGACCCAUCAUUCCCAGAAACCAAGCAUAAAGAAGCUUGUGAGUCAACCUCCUCCUAAACCUG
rnacentral:misc_RNA from 1 species